rnacentral:rRNA from 1 species
UACGGAGGGUGCAAGCGUUGUCCGGAAUCACUGGGCGUAAAGGGUGCGUAGGCGGGUCUUUAAGUCAGGGGUGAAAUCCUGGAGCUCAACUCCAGAACUGCCUUUGAUACUGAGGAUCUUGAGUCCGGGAGAGGUGAGUGGAACUGCGAGUGUAGAGGUGAAAUUCGUAGAUAUUCGCAAGAACACCAGUGGCGAAGGCGGCUCACUGGCCCGGUACUGACGCUGAGGCACGAAAGCGUGGGGAGCAAACAGG